UAAAGAAGUGAAUGCAUAAGUUUUAUGGAAUAAAGUGAAAAAUAUGUAUGCACCCAUCAUCUUCCUGAGCUCAUCAGCAACAAUAAUGGCGACAUACAAAUUGCAUUUUGAAAAUAGAUACUCAAUGGUUAACAGAUUAUCUUAAUGGUAGAAAUGUGCAUUGGUAAAUAAGUACGUCUUUGAAUUCUCUAUCCUUGAAGGCGUAAGCAGAGAUCCAAAAAGCUUCUUUACUCGUAACGAGGUCCUAACUUUAACCCAGUUAUACAUAAUAGAAACAUUAUCGUUCAACAUCAUUUCUCAAUAUUCUUCAUAAAUAUAUGAAUCCAUUAAAGCCUACAUCAUCUACCAUCUUGAAAU
rnacentral:lncRNA from 1 species